GUCAACCAGUGCACUAUCAAAGACUCAUGCCUUAAUAGGCAACAGAACCCAUCAGAACCAGGUCUAUGUGACCUUGCUAGACAGGUGGUAUGUCUGAGAAAAGCCUUGGUCAGAAAAGCCAGGCAGAUGAGGCUGUUUGACUCUAUACUGUCCAAUAAGGUGAACUAAGCAAAAACUGCAGGGGAGCUAUUUAGUCUUCUCUGUCUUUUCAGGCACAGGGAUGGACAAGUAGGACUGGCCAGCAGUCUGCUUCCUUCUCAUUGUGCAGUUAGAAACCAGCUGUGAGUAGUGAGGGAGUGGGUUCAUAUAUGACCAGACUGUGGUUUCCACUGACAAGCAAGUUGGUUUCCAGGAAUUUCGAUCCCGGAAUAGUUAAGGAGAGUUAACGAUGGUACCAUACAGGAUAUCCUGCUUGAUACAGGAUAUGGGGAUGGCCCAUUGCCUGGGUCUAUAAAAGCCAUUAACUGAGCUGAGAACUUAGCCGAAGUAACAAUUUAAGGAUCCAAUUAGCACGACAGCUGGAUUUUUAAUUCUUUUCUGUUUCCCCCAACUUUUUCACAAGUGAACUGUGCUCUAAAAAAAAAAUGACCCAUUUUUAAACUCACAUGUUACUGGAAGAACAAAAAUUCUGGUUAAGGUGCACUAGACUGUCACUGGUGGAGAUAAUGAAGGAAGAAAAUAGGAAAUGUCCGAAUAGAGAUCCAACCAGGGGUCUUUGAUUAGUUUUCACCCGUUCUUGUCGGCCUUCUGUCCUUCCUUCCUUCCUUUUAUUUCCCUUCUUUCCUUUCUCUAUUAAGAAACAAUAAUAAAUGUUUUCAGGAGAGAGGUGGUUUUUUUUCUAAGACUAGGGGGUGAUACUGAAACUUCUUUGUGGUCAAUUCAGAAGGCCCAGAAGAGGUCCAUGCAGUCAACCCUAUGACUUUCUUAAAAGUCUUGAUCACGUAAAGAUUUUUUUUUCCUCCAGGACAUUGACCAAAAUCCAGCAGAGAGAAUUCGAACAUUUUCCUUGGAAACUUCUUAAAGUCACCUAUACCUUUAUACCUCCACUUUUAAGUUCAUGUAUUUUCCUGUGGAAUUUAAUACCUGGCAUUGUGAACUAUGGUGGGCCUGCUGUUGACGCCCAGAGGAAUCAGGGAGCCUAACUAUGGUAGGCAUUAAAAAAAUUGCAGAGAUUUCAAAGAAAACAGUUUGAUAAAUCCCUUUGAAAACCUCUGCAGCAUUUCUUCCUAAAUUGUUUAUUCCAGACAAUGGGUGACACUGGGGGCCUCCAGGCAGUUUGACUUUCCAUUUUAUGGGUCCUUGUCUUUUUUCUGUGAAGAUGAGAUAAGAUCUGUCCUGUGUGCUUUGAAGUCAUUUCUGUCAUUUAACAAAUUCUCUUGGAAAGAAGCAAUGGGUGCAUCCCCAGCUAUGGAAAGGAUGCCCUUCAUUGAACUGCCCUCAUCAAGAGGCACACGAGAUAAUAUGAUGGAAAGAGCUUGACCUUUGAGAUCAGACACAUAACACUAUUGCACAGUAGCUUUGUGAAUUUGGAUGUGCUUUUAAUCUCGCUAAGCCUUGGUUUUCUCCUCUAUAUCAUUAUGCUGAUAAUACCCAUUGUGAUAGUUAGGGUUCUUUGGUUAUUAGCAACAGACAGU
rnacentral:lncRNA from 1 species